UCAGAGAAAUAUCCAGAUCCAAGAACAAAGCUUCAAACUAAGCCACAUGCAUAAUGACAUACAAUCAUAAUCCAAACCUGCUAUAAAGAUGUUGUGUGUGUGAUGUGUUCACAAAUAAGCUUGACAAAGGCAAAGAUUACACAUGCUAAACUAGUUAAGAAAUAAAACUGAAGUUCAAAUCAAGAACUAUGCAUACAAAUGAAACAACAACUACUCCAACACAUCAAUACAAACUAAGGUUCAGCAAUGGAUUUAUUUUGCUUUAUUUUUACUCAUGAGGGUGAUUUUCACACUUUUCUGUGGUGUUUAUUGAUUUCUUUUCUUUUUCCCAUGACUGUACAAUGCCUCAUUCCAUUAGGCUAACAGUGCUACCCCUUAGCGAGCUUUCAACCAACGACUCCCAGAACAUUAAGACCUUAGGGCGCUAGGUGUAGAGAUAAUCCCCUCGGGCGUACUUACUCAAGUAACAAAGGCCCUGAAACAAGACAAGCCACGAUAUUUUUUCCUUUUUUUUAUAAAUAGUAAGCAUACCCAUGGAUUCCCAAAGUUUGAGUUUCAGUGUUUUAAUAGUCAAUGAUCACUUCCUACACAAUUCUAUCUUUAAAAAUAGUGUUUUCAUCUCAGCAGGCAAACAAGUUAAUCUUUAACCAACAAGCAAACAUGAACACUAACGUGCUAACCGGUAGCAUAUAAACAACAAGCAUGGAUCAAAUCAUGUAUAAUAUUAUAACUCAGCUCAAGAUAUCAACUUAGUUCAAGAAUCCAUCAAAUUUCUUAAAUCAUCAUUGGCCAAAUUAGAAUUCUACUAACUAGAUACUUGGGAUUAUGCAAUGUUAUACUAUUAAACAGAUAAACUAAACAACAAAAUGAAAAAAAUUCUGCAAAAUUAAACUAAUCACCUUAACAUGCAAAAACUAUAUAAAACAUGGAUAAAUGAUGCAAAUUAAACUACAUGCUCUACAGUACUAACU
rnacentral:lncRNA from 1 species